rfam:Pseudanabaena biceps PCC 7429 scaffold_00031, whole genome shotgun sequence.
GGAGAGGUGGCAGAGUGGUUGAAUGCGUCUGACUCGAAAUCAGAUUUAGGGUCACACCUAACGGGAGUUCGAAUCUCCCCCUCUCCG